GACGAACGCUGGCGGCGUGCUUAACACAUGCAAGUCGAACGAAGUGGCGGACGGGUGAGUAACGCGUAAUUAACCUGCCCUUCUGAGGGGGACAACAGUUGGAAACGACUGCUAAUACCGCAUACGGAAGUAGUGGAUUGCGUCUGAAUGGCGAGUUGGAGGGGUAACGGCCAACCAAGGCGAUGAUCAGUAGCCGGUCUGAGAGGAUGAACGGCCACAAUGGGACUGCGGAACGGCCCAGACUCCUACGGGAGGCAGCAGUAGGGAAUCUUCCGCAAUGGACGAAAGUCUGACGGAGCAACGCCGCGUGAGUGAUGACGGCCUUCGGGUUGUAAAGCUCUGUUAAUCGGGACGCGGUACCGGAAUAGAAAGCCACGGCUAACUACGUGCCAGCAGCCGCGGUAAUUC
rnacentral:rRNA from 1 species